GAGACACUAGUAAAAUAUUACACUGCCUUGUCAAGGCAGAAUUGUAGGUGGGACUCCUGCGUGUCUUA
rnacentral:tRNA from 1 species